rnacentral:misc_RNA from 1 species
GAUGAAGAACGUAGCGAAAUGCGAUACGUAAUGUGAAUUGCAGAAUUCAGUGAAUCAUCGAGUCUUUGAACGCACAUUGCGCCCCCUGGUAUUCCGGGGGGCAUGCCUGUCCGAGCGUCAUUGCUGCCCUCAAGCACGGCUUGUGUGUUGGGCCUCCGUCCUCCUCCCGGGGGACGGGCCCGAAAGGCAGUGGCGGCACCAUGUCUGGUCCUCGAGCGUAUGGGGCUUUGUCACCCGCUCCCGUAGGUCCAGCUGGCAGCUAGCCUCGCAACCAAUCUUUUUAACCAGGUUGACCUCGGAUCAGGUAGGGAUACCCGCUGAACUUAAGCAUAUCAAUAAGCGGAGGA